GCCCGUGACCUGCGAUAGCUCAGUCGGUAGAGCAUGAGACUCUUAAUCUCAGGGUCGUGGGUUCAGACCCCACAUUGGGCA